rnacentral:rRNA from 1 species
AUUGAACGCUGGCGGCAGGCUUAACACAUGCAAGUCGAACGAGUGGCGGACGGGUGAGUAAUGCUUGGGAAUCUGGCUUAUGGAGGGGGAUAACGACGGGAAACUGUCGCUAAUACCGCGUACCAUAGGAUGAGCCCAAGUGGGAUUAGGUAGUUGGUGGGGUAAUGGCCUACCAAGCCGACGAUCUCUAGCUGGUCUGAGAGGAUGACCAACCAAACCGGGACUGGGAAACGGGCCAGGCUCCCACGGGAGGCAGCAAUGGGGGAACUUCCGCAAUGGGCGAAAGUCUGGCGGAGCAACGCCGCGUUGGUGAUGACGGGCUUCGGGUUGUAAAGCUCUGUUAAUCGGGAGACGGUACCGGAAUAGAAAGCCACGGCUAACUACGUGCCAGCAGCCGCGGUAAUAC